UACAGAAGGGGGCUAGCGUUGCUCGGAAUCACUGGGCGUAAAGCGCACGUAGGCGGAUUGCUAAGUCAGGGGUGAAAUCCUGGAGCUCAACUCCAGAACUGCCUUUGAUACUGGCGAUCUCGAGUCCGGGAGAGGUGAGUGGAACUGCGAGUGUAGAGGUGAAAUUCGUAGAUAUUCGCAAGAACACCAGUGGCGAAGGCGGCUCACUGGCCCGGUACUGACGCUGAGGUGCGAAAGCGUGGGGAGCAAACAGG
rnacentral:rRNA from 1 species